UACGUAGGGGGCAAGCGUUGUUCGGAAUUACUGGGCGUAAAGGGCGCGUAGGCGGCACGGCAAGUCGGGAGUGAAAGGCCUGGGCUCAACCGAGGAACUGCUUUCGAGACUGCCGAGCUAGAGUGCGGAAGGGGCAACUGGAAUUCCCAGUGUAGCGGUGAAAUGCGUAGAUAUUGGGAAGAACACCUGAGGCGAAGGCGGCUCUCUGGGACGGUACUGACGCUGAGACGCGAAAGCGUGGGGAGCGAACAGG
rnacentral:rRNA from 1 species